rnacentral:tRNA from 1 species
GCCUGGGUGGCUCAGUCCGUUAGGUUAAGCGUCUGACUUUGGCUCAGAUCAUGAUCUCACGGUAUGUGGGUUUGAGCCCCGCCUUGGGCU